rnacentral:lncRNA from 1 species
AUCUCCUGUUCCUGCACCUGUCUGGUCCAGGUGUGCUUCAAAGCAAGGCGAGAGCGUCCACAGCUGCACUCAGCUCGUGCCCGAUUGCAGGAGCUGGGGCUGGUGGUCCAUGCCUGCAGUCUCGGCAUUCUGGGAGGCUGAGGCAGAAGAACUGCA